ACAGCAGAAGGAGAUAGCGACGAAGAGGAUACAUAUUCGGCAAACCCUCCCUUCUUGUUUUUCAAUUUCAUCGUCUUCAUCCUUUUACGCUUGAUUUUCCUUUUUCC
rnacentral:ribozyme from 12 species